UAGGCUUGACAUGUGGUGAGUAGCGAACCGAAAGGGGAGCGACCCGUCAAAUCGGGCCAUACAGAC
rnacentral:rRNA from 1 species